AUUGAACGCUGGCGGCAGGCCUAACACAUGCAAGUCGAGCGGAGCGGCGGACGGGUGGGUAAUGACUAGGAAUCUGCCUGGUCGUGGGGGGUAACGUCCGGAAACAGGCGCUAGUUACGCAUCCUCUCAGAUGAGCCUAGCUCGGUUUAGCUAGUUGGUGGGGUAAAGGCCUACCAAGGCGACGGUCCGUACCUGGUCUGAGAGGAUGAUCAGUCACACUGGAACUGAGACACGGUCAAGACUCCUACGGGAGGCAGCAGUGGGGAAUAUUGGACAAUGGGCGAAAGCCUGAUCCAGCCAUGCCGCGUGUGUGAAGAAGGUCUUCGGAUUGUAAAGCACUUUAAGUUGGGAGGCGUUACCAACAGAAUAAGCACCGGCUAACUUCGUGCCAGCAGCCGCGGUAAUAC
rnacentral:rRNA from 1 species